AACGAACGCUGGCGGCAUGCCUAACACAUGCAAGUCGAACGAGACCUUCGGGUCUAGUGGCGCACGGGUGCGUAACGCGUGGGAAUCUACCCUUGGGUUCGGAAUAACUCAGAGAAAUUUGAGCUAAUACCGGAUGAUGUCGAAAGACCAAAGAUUUAUCGCCCAAGGAUGAGCCCGCGUAGGAUUAGCUAGUUGGUGAGGUAAAGGCUCACCAAGGCAACGAUCCUUAGCUGGUCUGAGAGGAUGAUCAGCCACACUGGGACUGAGACACGGCCCAGACUCCUACGGGAGGCAGCAGUGGGGAAUAUUGGACAAUGGGCGGAAAGCCUGAUCCAGCAAUGCCGCGUGAGUGAUGAAGGCCUUAGGGUUGUAAAGCUCUUUUAGCAGGGAAGAAGCGAAAGUGACGGUACCUGCAGAAAAAGACGCCGGCUAACUACGUG
rnacentral:rRNA from 1 species